CACGUAGGGCGCAAGCGUUGUCCGGAAUUAUUGGGCGUAAAGAGCUUGUAGGCGGUUUGUCGCGUCUGCUGUGAAAAUCCGGGGCUCAACCCCGGACUUGCAGUGGGUACGGGCAGACUAGAGUGUGGUAGGGGAGACUGGAAUUCCUGGUGUAGCGGUGGAAUGCGCAGAGUAUCAGGAGGAACACCGAUGGCGAAGGCAGGUCUCUGGGCCACUACUGACGCUGAGAAGCGAAAGCAUGGGGAGCGAACAGG
rnacentral:rRNA from 1 species